UUCAAACACUGGUUCCCAUAAAAUUACUGAAGUUAAGCAACAUUGAGCUUGGUCAGUACCUAGAUAGGUGACUGCUUGGGAAUACCAGUUGCUGUAAG